GCUCGUAGUUGGAUCUCGGCGGACAGAAGUCGGUCCGAAUGCUUUCGGUACUGGCUUGUUUGUCCGUGUGUUUUGCCAGAGGCAGGCGGGUGCUCUUCGCCGAGUGUCCGUCUGUGCUGGCAGGUUUACUUUGAAAAAAUUAGAGUGCUCAAAGCAAGCUCUCACGCUUGAAUAUUCGUGCAUGGAAUAAUAGAAUAGGACGUCGUUUCUAUUUUGUUGGUUUUCGGAAAUCGACAUAAUGAUUAAUAGGGACAGUCGGGGGCAUUUGUAUUCAAACGACAGAGGUGAAAUUCUUGGACCGUUUGAAGACAAACUACUGCGAAAGCAUUUGCCAAGAAUGUUUUCAUUAAUCAAGAACGAAAGUUAGAGGUUCGAAGGCGAUUAGAUACCGCCCUAGUUCUAACCAUAAACGAUGCCAGCUAGCGAUCUGCAGGCGUUUUACUUUACGACCUUGCAGUGAGCUUCCGGGAAACCAAAGCUUGUGGGUUCCAGGGGAAGUAUGGUUGCAAAGCUGAAACUUAAAGGAAUUGACGGAAGGGCACCACCAGGAGUGGAGUCUGUGGCUUAAUUUGACUCAACACGGGAAAUCUCACCAGGCCCGGACACGAGAAGGAUUGACAGAUUGAUAGCUCUUUCUUGAUUUCGUGGGUGGUGGUGCAUGGCCGUUCUUAGUUGGUGAAGUGAUUUGUCUGGUUAAUUCCGAUAACGAACGAGACUCUGUCCUGCUAACUAGUGUCUGCUUCUUUUCUGAGCAGAUUAUUCUUCU
rnacentral:rRNA from 1 species